rnacentral:rRNA from 2 species
UGUCCCUACGGGAGGCAGCAGUGGGGAAUAUUGGACAAUGGGGGCAACCCUGAUCCAGCGACGCCGCGUGUGUGAAGAAGGCCUGCGGGUUGUAAAGCACUUUUAGUGGGGAUGAAAAGCCUGGCGCUAACACCGUCGGGUCUUGACCUAACCCACAGAAAAAGCACCGGCUAACUCUGUGCCAGCAGCCGCGGUAAUACAGAGGGUGCGAGCGUUAAUCGGAAUUACUGGGCGUAAAGCGUGCGUAGACGGUCAUACAAGUCGGGUGUGAAAGCCCCGGGCUCAACCUGGGAAUUGCAUUCGAGACUGUAUGGCUAGGGUGCGGAAGAGGGAAGUGGAAUUUCCGGUGUAGCGGUGAAAUGCGUAGAUAUCGGAAGGAACACCAGUGGCGAAAGCGACUUCCUGGUCCGACACCGACGUUCAGGCACGAAAGCGUGGGGAGCAAACAGGAUUAGAUACCCUGGUAGUCCACGCCAUAAACGAUGAGAACUAGACGUUGGAAGGGUAAGCCUUUCAGUGUCGCAGCUAACGCGUUAAGUUCUCCGCCUGGGGAGUACGGCCGCAAGGUUGAAACUCAAAUGAAUUGACGGGGA